CCGGGGUCCUCCCCACGGCAGGGACCCUGUCCGGGACAGCCGGACACCACAGCGGGGUGCCCCCGGCCGCUGUGCCAAGGGGACCCCGCUCUGAACCGUGACUUUGUGGGGUGCCCCUGGGGAGGGGGCUCCUGGAAGAGGCUCCCUGACCCUGCAGCACCCAUAGGUGCUGUCGGGGGACGGGCAGAGCACCCCACACCCCCCCAGCAGCCCCUUCCCCACUGCCACCGUCCCCAGGCCGGGUCUGCGGGGCGCUGUCCCCGUUGUCCCUGUGCGCAUCGUCCCCACGGGAGCAACGCAGUGCGGCCCCCACCCCAACUACAAAAAGAGGAAACUCAUCAAAACCCAAAAACACGGAGCAGGAGCCGAGCUGUGGGGCGCUCGCUGCCGGGGCCCCGCUCCGUGGGAACCUCCCCAAAGCUCCCCCACAUUUCGGGGGGGCCCGGCCCCGCUGCUGUAACCCCGACACCCUCAGAGCUGAGAAAAAGGAUUUUCGGUUUCCCUCGCUUUGCUUUAGGGCUGCAGGCCCUGCACGAGCCAUUUCCUCAUCCUGCUCCUGGCGCUUCCCACACGGCCCUGAGCGCAGCCCAAGGGGGGUCCAGACCCUGCUCCCCCCAGUGUGUUUGGGGUUAUUUGAACAGCAAACAUCACACAGGCACCGGGGGGGCAUUUGGGGACAGGGAUACGGGGACAGUUAUGGGGUGGGAUGGGGAUGAGGAGGGGAUGGGAUGGGGAUGGGAUGGGAUGGGAUGGGGAUGGGGAUGGGAAUGGGAUGGGGAUGGGAUGGGGAUGGGAUCAGAUGGGGAGGGGGACAUUGGGGAUGGGGUGGGAUGGGGAUGGGAUGGGGAUGGGGAUGGGGAUGGGAUGGGAUGGGGAUGGGGAUGGGGAUACUGGGGACACCUCCCUGUCCCUUUUGGGGUAUGUGGGGGCUCUGCAGCCCUCCAAGACCCCCCCAAAACCCCCCCCGUGCGCCACAGCGUCCCCGGCGAGGGGGCUGGGGGCUCCUCUUUGGGGUCUCCAGCACCCCCCGGGACCUGGGGCGGGGGGCGAGCGGCAGCACCCAAGGGUGC
rnacentral:lncRNA from 1 species